rnacentral:misc_RNA from 1 species
GUGAAUUUGUUUGUUUGAAUAAUUUUUUUUCCAAAAAAAAUUAUUGAAUGUCUUUCCUUGUUUUGGUGGAGCUUGUAAAGUGAAACCAGGCAGGGGAAUGGCAAACAAUAAUUAUUUUUGAAAAGACCUUUUUUUAAAAUUAAACUUUUUGUAUUCAUUUGUCUAAAAUUAAUUUUUAUAAUAUAAAAACAACUUUUGACAAUGGAUCUCUUGUUCUCGCAACGAUGAAGAACGCAGCAAAAUGCGAUAAGUAGUGUGAAUUGCAGAAUACGUGAAUCAUCGAAUCUUCGAACGCAUAUUGCACUUUUUAGUUUACUAAAAAAGUAUGUCUGUUUGAGUAUCAGUAAAAUAUUCUCAUAAAAAACAUUGUUUUUUUUAUGGUUAUGAGUGUUUUACAACGAUAACAGGUUGUUUCACUUUAAAUUCUUUGUUAUCAAAAAAAUCAUUAAAAGCUAAUUUUAAAGAUUUUUUAAAAUUGGAUAAAAUUUUCCCGUAAAAAGGAAUAACCUAAACAAUUUUAAAAAAUUAAAAUUGGUUUGAUUUUUUUGAAACCCAAAGGAAAAAAAACGAAAUUAACUUGAUCUCAAAUCAGAUAAGAGUACCCGCUGAACUUAAGCAUAUCAAUAAGCGGAGGAAAAGAAACUAACUAGGAUUCCCUCAGUAACGGCGAGUGAAGCGGGAAGAGCUCAAAUUUGAAAUCUUCAAGGUUUUACCUUGACGAAUUGUAGUUUAAAGAAGUGUUUCUGUUGGAGUUUUGGUAAAAGUUCUUUGGAAAAGGACAUCAUAGAGGUGAGAAUCCCGUAUUUGACCAUUAUCUCCAGCUUUGUGAUACACUUUCAAAGAGUCGGAUUGUUUGGGAAUGCAGUCCAAAAUGGGUGGUAAAUUUCAUCUAAAGCUAAAUACUGGCGAGAGACCGAUAGCGAACAAGUACCGUGAGGGAAAGAUGAAAAGGACUUUGAAAAGAGAGUUAAACAGUACGUGAAAUUGUCAAAAGGGAAGCGUUUGACACCAGUGUUGUUUUCUCGAAAAUCAAUUAAAAAAGGCCGGAUUUUGUGUUGUAUUGACUUUAUCAGCUUUCUGCACUCUUUCCUUGUCUUUUUUAAUGCACUUUUCGUUUAACAAGUCAACAUCAAUUUCUUUUGUUGUAAAAGGGUCAUUGGAAGGUGGCUUUCUUUUCGGAGAAAGUGUUUAUAGCCUUUGGCCUCUGCAAUCGGAGAGAUUGAGGUCUGCAGCGUAGAUCCUUCGGGGUUAGAUACAUUUGUGCUAAGUUAUAGCCUUUCAUAGACAACUUGUUGACUAUGAUCAGUCAUGUAGCUUACUCGCUUAUGCUAUUUUACCUACGCUUAGGAUGUUG